GCCUUUUGACAUGGAGAGGAAGGGCCCAGAGAUGGGUCUGCCCGCAAGGGUCUCUUGCAC
rnacentral:rRNA from 1 species